rnacentral:rRNA from 1 species
CCUCAGUAGCGGCGAGUGAAGCGGCAAGAGCUCAGAUUUGAAAUCGUGCUUUGCGGCACGAGUUGUAGAUUGCAGGUUGGAGUCUGUGUGGAAGGCGGUGUCCAAGUCCCUUGGAACAGGGCGCCCAGGAGGGUGAGAGCCCCGUGGGAUGCCGGCGGAAGCAGUGAGGCCCUUCUGACGAGUCGAGUUGUUUGGGAAUGCAGCUCCAAGCGGGUGGUAAAUUCCAUCUAAGGCUAAAUACUGGCGAGAGACCGAUAGCGAACAAGUACUGUGAAGGAAAGAUGAAAAGCACUUUGAAAAGAGAGUGAAACAGCACGUGAAAUUGUUGAAAGGGAAGGGUAUUGCGCCCGACAUGGGGAUUGCGCACCGCUGCCUCUCGUGGGCGGCGCUCUGGGCUUUCCCUGGGCCAGCUUCGGUUCUUGCUGCAGGAGAAGGGGUU